UCAAACUUGGUCAUUUAGAGGAAGUAAAAGUCGUAACAAGGUAACCGUAGGUGAACCUGCGGUUGGAUCAUUACUGAUAUUUUUGGGUUGCCAUCGCUUUUUGGAGUGGUGGGGGCCCAUCCACACCCUUGUGAAUGUUUUCGUCUUUGUUGUCUCUGCGGGGAGACAUUCCCACAGGGCAACACCAAGAUUACACUCGUGUAUUUUUGAACAUGAUUUCUUGGUGGUUUGGUGAGUCUCUGAUUCAACCAAGCCUCCAAAAGCUAAUCGCAAAAACUUUUGACAACGGAUCUCUUGGCUCUCGCAUCGAUGAAGAACGCAGC
rnacentral:misc_RNA from 1 species